rnacentral:rRNA from 1 species
UACGGGUUGUGAGAGCAAGAGCCCGGAGAUGGAUUCUGAGACACGAAUCCAGGCCCUACGGGGUGCAGCAGGCGCGAAAACUUUACAAUGCUGGCAACAGCGAUAAGGGAACCUCGAGUGCCAGGUUACAAAUCUGGCUGUCGAGAUGCCUAAAAAGCAUUUCAUAGCAAGGGCCGGGCAAGACCGGUGCCAGCCGCCGCGGUAACACCGGCGGCUCGAGUGGUAACCGUUAUUAUUGGGUCUAAAGGGUCUGUAGCCGGCCGGAUAAGUCUCUUGAGAAAUCUGGCAGCUUAACUGUCAGGCUUUCAGGAGAUACUGUCUGGCUCGAGGCCGGGAGAGGUGAGAGGUACUUCAGGGGUAGGGGUGAAAUCUUGUAAUCCUUGAAGGACCACCAGUGGCGAAGGCGUCUCACCAGAACGGACCUGACGGCAAGGGACGAAAGCUAGGGGCACGAACCGGAUUAGAUACCCGGGUAGUCCUAGCCGUAAACGAUACUCGCUAGGUGUCGGCCACGGUGCGACCGUUGUCGGUGCCGUAGGGAAGCCGUGAAGCGAGC